rnacentral:tRNA from 1 species
UCACGCCGAUGGCCCGGUGGGAGUGGGUGCGCUGGGUCGGCGCGACGAAGAGCCCGCAGACCCGUUCCAAGCGGGUCGGGGUGAGC